UGGAAAUUAUAUUAUUUAUACAUUCCAAGAUAAUCGUUGGGGUUGGACACUAAAUGACGGGCAGGCUGAGUUGUCUUUUAUCUGUGAGAUUCCCAACACAGAUAUCUACAAGAUUGUAGAGUCUGAACGCGAUGCAGGUUUUGGAUCCACGGUCCAAGAACCAGAGUUUUACGAGCGUGGACCCAAGAUAACUGAGCAGCCACAAGACACAGUGUUUGAUACCUCAUCCAAGAGAACAUAUGUGACGUUCUCGUGCUAUGCUGAUGGAUAUCCAUUUGCCACAUACGACUGGAGGAAAAUAGCGCAGACGUCUUCCACCCCGCUGUCAGAGCUGGCACUGCAGGAACCAAGGUACACAAUUAACAACGGCAAGUUGACUAUCCACA